AUUGAACGCUGGCGGCAUGCCUUACACAUGCAAGUCGAACGGUAACAGGUCUUCGGAUGCUGACGAGUGGCGAACGGGUGAGUAAUACAUCGGAACGUGCCUAGUAGUGGGGGAUAACUACUCGAAAGAGUGGCUAAUACCACAUGAGAUCUACGGAUGAAAGCAGGGGAUCGCAAGACCUUGUGCUACUAGAGCGGCCGAUGGCAGAUUAGGUAGUUGGUGGGAUAAAAGCUUACCAAGCCGACGAUCUGUAGCUGGUCUGAGAGGACGAUCAGCCACACGGGGACUGAGACACGGCCCAGACUCCUACGGGAGGCAGCAUUGGGGAAUUUUGGACAAUGGGCGCAAGCCUGAUCCAGCAAUGCCGCGUGCAGGAUGAAGGCCUUCGGGUUGUAAACUGCUUUUGUACGGAACGAAAAGCCCUGGGUUAAUACCCUGGGGUCAUGACGGUACCGUAAGAAUAAGCACCGGCUAACUACGUGCCAGCCGCCGCGGUAA
rnacentral:rRNA from 1 species